AUGAAACACUCCUACGGGAGGCAGCAGUGAGGAAUAUUGGUCAAUGGGCGAGAGCCUGAACCAGCCAAGUAGCGUGCAGGAUGACGGCCCUAUGGGUUGUAAACUGCUUUUAUAGGGGAAUAAAGAACGGUACGUGUACCGUAGUGAAUGUACCCUACGAAUAAGCAUCGGCUAACUCCGUGCCAGCAGCCGCGGUAAUACGGAGGAUGCGAGCGUUAUCCGGAUUUAUUGGGUUUAAAGGGUGGGUAGGCGGCCUGUUAAGUCAGCGGUGAAAUCUAGGAGCUUAACUCCUAAAUUGCCAUUGAUACUGCCGGGCUUGAGUGUAGAUGAGGUAGGCGGAAUGCGUGGUGUAGCGGUGGAAUGCAUAGAUAUCACGCAGAACUCCGAUUGCGAAGGCAGCUUACUAAGGUACAACUGACGCUGAAGCACGAAAGCGUGGGUAUCAAACAGGAUUAGAAACCCCUGUAGUCCGAAGUUC
rnacentral:rRNA from 1 species